GACGUAGGGGGCGAGCGUUGUCCGGAUUUAUUGGGCGUAAAGCGUGCGUAGGCGGCUGCGCAAGUCGGUUGUGAAACCCCGGGGCUCAACCCCGGAACUGCAUCCGAUACUGCGUGGCUAGAGGUAGGUAGGGGAGAUCGGAAUUCCUGGUGUAGCGGUGAAAUGCGCAGAUAUCAGGAAGAACACCAAUGGCGAAAGCAGCUCUCUGGGACGGUACUGACGCUGAGACGCGAAAGCGUGGGGAGCGAACAGG
rnacentral:rRNA from 1 species